CAUAUCAAUAAGCGGAGGAAAAGAAACUAACAAGGAUUCCCCUAGUAACGGCGAGUGAAGAGGGAAGAGCCCAAGAUUGAAAGCUGGCGUCUUCGGCGUCCGCAUUGUAAUCUCAAGAAGUGUUUUCCGCUUCGGACCAAGCCUAAGUCCCUUGGAAAAGGGCAUCAUAGAGGGUGAUAGUCCCGUACAUGGCUUGGAGCGCCCGAGGCUUUGUGAUACACUUUCUAAGAGUCGAGUUGUUUGGGAAUGCAGCUCAAAAUGGGUGGUAAAUGCCAUCUAAGGCUAAAUAUUGGGGAGAGACCGAUAGCGAACAAGUACAGUGAUGGAAAGAUGAAAAGAACUUUGAAAAGAGAGUUAAACAGUACGUGAAAUUGCCAAAAGGGAAGGGUAGGAGGUCAGAGAUGCGGUCUGGGAUUCAGCCUUGCUUUUUCGCUUGGUGUUUUUCCCAGAUGGCAGGCCAACGUCGGUUUUGGGCACUGGAGAAGGGUAGGAGGAACGUGGCACCUCUCGGGGUGUGUUAUAGCCUCCUACUGGAUACAGCGACCGAGACCGAGGAACGCAGCGUACUCGCAAGAGCGGGCCCUCGGGCACCUUUACGCUUAGGGCGUUGGCAUAAUGGCCCUCUACCACCCGUCUGGAAACACGGA
rnacentral:rRNA from 1 species